AACUGUUAAAAAUUUGUCCAUGGCUGUGUAAACAUAGCCUAACUACUAGAUAAUAGCUUAUAAAAAAAGCUAAUAUUAAUUUAUUACAAGGGUAUUCUGAAGUUGUUAUUGUUGUUUUUGUUUUUACCAGCUACAUCUCAUGGAACUCAGUCAAGUGUCAACAACUUAUCUGGUGGUCACUGCAAUGACACAUCCAAGAAUGUCCACAUGAAAAUUGAAGUAUAUGUUUGCAAGAAAACUGGAGAUCGUAUCUGCAAUUCAAGAAAUGUUGGAAUAUUGACAUGCCCAGCCCCAGCGACUACUGCACCUUAUACGUCACCAAACACAACAACGUUAACACAUGGAACCGAACUUGGGAUUAAUAUUACAGAAUAUGUCGUGACAAGAAUGAAACUAUAAGCGAGAUAUACCAAGAACAGAAACAAAACUAACGGGAACAAUAAUAACAAGAGAAAACACAACAGAAGCAGCCAGGCCCGGAUCAACAAAAAAUGAGA